UUUAAAUCUUUGACAGAUGAAUUCAAAUUACUGUGUUUUGUCUUGGUCAGGCUGGAUUGUCUAGUUAAGACACUGCACUCAGAGGGCUAUUUCGGGAUGUACAGAGUAAUAAAGACACGGCUCCAGUCACUAACCAAAGGAAUAAGUGAGGACAGCUACAGCAGACUAGCUGACUGUGGAAGGAAAAUGUGAUGGAAGGAGGGUCCCUCUGCCUUCCUGAGAGGGGCUGGCUGCAGAACAUUAGUCAUUGCUCCACUCUUUGGUAUAGCCCAAGUCAUUUACUUUAUUGGAGUAGGGGAGUUCCUUGUUGAGCUUUCCCAAUAUGGCAGAUUUUCAUCCUAACUCCUUAUGCCAUGGACAUGUUGGAACAGAACCUGCAAGAAUCAUCGAUAUAGAGAGGACCCAAGAAACAGAUUGCAACUCUGAUUGAUUUACUUACAUUCUUAGUGAAUCUGGGGGUCCCUGAAUACACUGUUAAUAAUCAACUAAAGUUAAGGGAAAGUUGGGACAACGUAUCCCCUGGGCUGCUGCUCAAUGUUGCACCCCAGCUUGGGGAUGCUGUACGCAUCCUUUUCAUGGCAUUUCCUGUUAUCCUUUUACACCAAGAGUCAGACUUGUGACACCAACAACCAGUGCAGUACAGGAGUCUGCAUAUUGUUAGUGUAUGGGAAUGUCUCCCAGUACUGAGGGUUCUAAGAGAUAUAAAUCUCUAUAUGUGAAACAACCAUUGCUGUUUUACUGAAUUUUGUGUACUUUUCAGAGGGUAGCACGAUCAGAUAUUAGGGGUAGUUGUUCAUGUUCCCUUCAUUAAAUAAUUAUAUAUAUAUAUACACACAACAUAUUUUCUAAUGGGUUUGGGGCCAAGUCCUUCUCUAUUAGUUGCACUUGAUUAUCCAGCUACCGGCCUAGAAAGGUCUGUCUUGGUAUUUCUCUUUGUUCUCUGUGCCAUCAAUGCUGUUUCAUUAAUUCACUCUUUACAAUUAAUUGGAAACAGAAGGCUAUGGCUUAUAAAAAGUCAUAGUUUACAGCUUGGAGCAUUUCCUUGUAAAGAAGGUGGUUGCUUUGGUGACUGCUAAAAACAGAAGCCAUUUCAGACCAUACAUGCAUCGUAGGCAAACUAGCCUAGAUAGGCACUCAGUAUGAAAUUCAUCCUGUACAAUGCCUACUUAUCACUUACAGUAUGGGUUCUAGAGUGAGCCCUGAAUGGAUUUUGUAUGCUCAUAAACCCUAAUUGUUCAGCAGAGACAUAGGUGCUACUUGAACUUGUUAGCGUAACUCACUCCAUACUUGAACUUCUCAGCAAUAAAGCAAUAAAACCAGUUCUUCCCUCAAAUAAACAUACAGUGUAAGCACUGAAUUUGCUAGGAGCUGCACCCGAGAAUAAAACUGGAUCAAGAAUUUUUAACCAUGUUAAAAUAUUACCCUUGAUUAUAUUUAGCCAGUUCUUUUCCUUGGCAGUGAGCUCAUGUAAUGACUGAUCCCAGUUUUUAAUUUGUUGUUGUUUGCAAAGGAAUAAACUAGUCAGUAUCUUUGGCCCCUUCCUCAAAUCCACUGUGUGCAGUCUGCAAUUUAAAUGUAUAUGAUGCAAGGAAAGCUUGA